rnacentral:lncRNA from 1 species
AUUUGGUUAAAAAGCUAUUUGAAUGGUCCCGGUGGAGUUCGGUGAAGUUCUGGAGCAAUCGGGCGUUUCGGUGCGCGUAGGUGCGAAAACGAAACCCGAAAGGCUAUGUUGGACCAUGGACUAAAUCCAGCAUUAGCAUGGAUGAAAAGAUGAUGAAAACAUGCUUGAAAACAUAUUUGGAGAGUUUCGGUUCGAUUUGAAACGAAUCGGAUGUCAAACGAGCGAAAACGAGCGAAAACGGAGCGAAAACGGUGAAAAUGCUGAAAAAUUGGCUAAGUCCUGAAAAAAAGUCCUGAAAAAAAGGCUGUGUACCGGUGACAGGAUUUCGUGUACCGGUACGCAGUGUAAAAUCCGAGAAGAUGG